rnacentral:rRNA from 1 species
GAUGAACGCUGGCGGCGUGCCUAAUACAUGCAAGUCGAGCGAAUGGAUUAAGAGCUUGCUCUUAUGAAGUUAGCGACGGACGGGUGAGUAACACGUGGGUAACCUGCCCAUAAGACUGGGAUAACUCCGGGAAACCGGGGCUAAUACCGGAUAACAUUUUGAACCGCAUGGUUCGUAAUUGAAAGGCGGCUUCGGCUGUCACUUAUGGAUGGACCCGCGUCGCAUUAGCUAGUUGGUGAGGUAACGGCUCACCAAGGCAACGAUGCGUAGCCGACCUGAGAGGGUGAUCGGCCACACUGGGACUGAGACACGGCCCAGACUCCUACGGGAGGCAGCAGUAGGGAAUCUUCCGCAAUGGACGAAAGUCUGACGGGGCAACGCCGCGUGAGUGAUGAAGGCUUUCGGGUCGUAAAACUCUGUUGUUAGGGAAGAACAAGUGCUAGUUGAAUAAGCUGGCACCUUGACGGUACCUAACCAGAAAGCCACGGCUAACUACGUGCCAGCAGCCGCGGUAA